ACACUUAAUUAUAAGAAUUAUAAUAUUAUCUAUGUUUGAACUAUGACAUAAGAACCAAUGUUUCAAAAUGACAGGUCACAGAAGUACAAAAAGUAACUCGAAAUGGCAACAGAUGUAUUUUUUAAUAUUUUGUAAUAUUGUUAGGAGUAAUAGUGAGAAAUUUUUAAUGCAUUUGAUGACGUGAAGUUAAAAAAGGGAAUAUAAAAGGAGCCAUGGUUUAUUCACAAGAACCUGGAGACUGUGUCAAACUAAAAGAGAAAGUAUCGUGUGAAAUCAGAGUGUUGCCUUCAAUGAUGUGGAAGAGGUCGAUUGUGCAAGUUAUGUCUGUGUGGCCUGACAAUCGUGGGUGCACUCCCUUAAUUGUAGUCCUGCCGUUUGUCUUCCUUUUAUUAUUAACGGCAGUAGGUGUAAGUUCUGCUGCAGACCUGGUGAUAGAAAUUCCAGGAUGGGGUGGGGUAGACGGAGAGGAGGCACAUUACCGACUCGACUAUCGGCCGCCUCAUGGUUCGCCUGCCCCUAAUUUUACAGUACCAGCCCGGGCUUCGACAAUAAAUUUUCAGGGUUUACCAGGCACAAAAUACCACUUCAUGCUCUAUUAUUCAAAUGCUACUUUUGCAGACCUUCUCACAUGGAAUCAAACUAUAAUUACAGCGCCUGAGCCACCUCGUAACUUGACGGUGACUCUGGGGCGCAACAAACAGGCGGCUAUCUCGUGGGCCCCGCCGCUGCACGGCGAUUUCACUGCUUUUCGGCUGCGCGUGGUGGCGCUGGCGGGCGAAACAGGCGCGCGCAACCUCAGCGUGCAAGUCGACGCGCCAGACAACGGCACGUGGAGUCACGUGCUACGCGAUCUGUCGCCCGGCGCCACCUACCAACUUCACGCCUUCACGCUACUACACGACAAGGAGAGCGCCGCCUACGCCUCCUUCAACUUCACCACCAAACCCAACACGCCGGGCAAGUUCAUCGUCUGGUUCCGCAACGAGACGACGCUGCUGGUGCUCUGGCAGCCGCCGUAUCCGCCCGGGGCCUACACGCACUACAAGGUGUCCAUCGAGCCGCGCGACGCCCGCGACUCGGAGCUUUACGUGGAGAAGGAGGGCGAGCCGCCGGGGCCGGCGCAGGCCGCCUUCAAGGGGCUGGUGCCGGGGCGCGCCUACAACAUUUCCGUGCAGACCGUGUCCGACGCGCAGCUCUCGCCGCCCACCACCGCGCAGUACCGCACGGUGCCGCUGCGCCCCAGGAACCUCACGCUCGCGCCGCCUCCCGCCGCGCUCACCGAGACGUCGUUCACCGUGGCCUGGCUGCCGCCCGCCGACAGGAGCGAGUUCCAGAAGUACCAGAUCGCGGUGUCGGCGGGCGGAGGCGGCGGCGGCGCCGGGGCGCGGCGACUGCCGGCCGUGGUCCGAAGCCGCGACGAGCCGACGCUCUGCUCCUUCGACGGACUCGAGCCGGGCAAGCACUACGCCGUGGCCGUCAAGACCAUGUCCGGCAAGGUCACCUCGUGGCCGGCCGCCACCGAGCUCACUCUCAAGCCGCUGCCGGUCCGCGACCUGGGCUGGCGGCGUUCGGAGGAGCCCGAAUCCGACCGAGGGGGAGAAGCCCGAGGCGGCGGAGUGCUGCUGUGGUGGACGCCGGCGCCCGAGAGCACCCAGGACGAGUACAAGAUCUCGUGGGCCGAGGCGGGCGAAGACAGCAACUGGUCGACCACGAACGUGGCCAACGCGACGCUGGCGUCGCUGCUUCCGGGCCGCAACUACAGCGUGAGCGUGGUUGCCGUGUCGCGCGGCGUGGCCUCCAACGAGACCUCAGUGGCGGUCGCCACGCGCCCCAUGGCGCCCGUUUUGCGAACCGUUCUGCCCUCGCGCUCCUCGUUACGGCUCGAAUGGAGCUCCGACGUGGACUCGCGCCAGGACGAGUACGAGCUGAGAUACCGCCGCGUCGACUCCGCCGAGCCUCCGAGGACGCUGCGAAGCGCCGAGCCGGGCGCCACGCUCGAGGGUCUCGAGCCGGGCGCCGUCUACGAGCUCGAGCUGGCGGCGCUCAGCCGCGGCCUCCGUGGAGAGCCGCUGCUCACGGAGCGCGCCACGCGGCCGCUGCCGCCCGAAUGGCUGGCGGUGGAGCGCGCCACCUCUAACUCGGUGGUGGCGCGAUGGCGAGGCCCCCUCGGCGGAGAGUUGGGCGCCUUCUCGCUGCGCUACCGCGCCGGCGCCGCGCCCUGGCGUCGGCUGCCGCCGCUCCCGGCCGACGCGACGCACGCCGAGAUCGCCAACAUGACUCACGGCGAGCGCUACUCCAUCGCGCUGGACACGCUCAGUCGCAGUCCGGCGCACGGCGACCCCGUCGAGGGCGGGGAGCCCCGCCUGGCCCAGCACACCGUGCGUCCCAACCCCGUGUCCAACGUGGCGCAGCUGGCGGACACGCGCAACAUGACGCUGGAGUGGCCUCGGCCCGAGGGCCGCGUGGACGCCUACCGCGUGCGCUGGUGGCCCGCCGAGGACGAGGGCGGCGCGGCGCCGGAGGGCGGCGAGGGCGGCGGCGAGCGCAACGUCAGCGCCGGCGAGGGCCGCAGCGCCCGGGUGCUGCUCGCCGGCCUCCGACCCGGCCGCGGCUACUCGGUGGCCAUCGAGGCGCUCUCGUACGAGCUGGCCAGCGACGUGUUCGCGAUGCACACGCGCACGCGGCCCCUCGUCCAGUCGGAGAUGACGAUCGUGACGCAGGGCGGCGAGGACGCCGAGAGCGAGGCGGCGCCCGCCUUCCUGGUGCUGUACACGCGCACGCCCGAGACGGCCGCCCGCUUCGACUCGUACCGCAUCCGGCUGGAGGCGGGCGGCGAGGAGCCCCGCGAGGCGGUGCGCGCGGCCGACGCGACCCCGCAGCAGGUGCGCUUCGACGGCCUCACGCCGGGCCGCCUCUACAACAUCACCAUGUGGACGCUGUCGCGCAACGUCUCCUCGCACCCCGUGCAGCGUCAGGCGCGUCUGUUCCCGCUGCCCGUGACGCAGUUGAACGCGACCUCCGUCGGAGCGCGAGAGAUCACGCUGGCGUGGGACAGACCGGCCGGAGACUGGACCGCCUUCGAGGUGCAGUACCUCGCCGCCGCCGACCGCCUCGAGAGCGCCGGCGCGACGCGCCCCGGCGUCACGCUGGGCUCCCUGGCGCCGCACACGCUCUACACUUUCACCGUGGAGGUGCUCUCGGGCACGCCGGCGACCAUCCUGACGCGCUCGCGCGCCCUCUCCGCCAGUUUCCGCACGCUGGCCGCGCCGCCGGCCGCGCCCGCCGCGUUCCACCCGACCGACGCGAAGCCGACCGAGCUGACCUUCGCUUGGCGACUCCCGCCGCGCGACGCCCACGGCGACCUGCUGGCCUUCCACCUGGCCUACUGGCCGCUCGGCGCGCCGGACCUGGCCCGCGAGAUCGCGUUCCCGCCGGACGCCGAGGAAGGGGCCGUGCGGGGGCUGCGCGCCGGGGGCACCUACGAGUUCGAGCUGCGCGGCGAGACGAGCGCCGGGCGCGGGGCGGCGGCGCGCUGGCGCCAGCACAUGGCGAUCGCGGCGCCGCCGAGGCCGCGCGCCCAGGCCCUGCCGACCGCCGUGCGGCGCACCUCGUCCACGCUGGUGGUCCGCUUCCGCGCCGACUACUUCUCGCCGGCCAACGGCAACGUGACGGCCUACACGCUGGUGCUCGGCGAGGAGCCGCGCAACGACACGCCGGCGCGUCUGCCGUCCUGGCGGGACGUGCAACGGCUGCCCGUGUGGCCGCCGUACCAGGUCACGGAGCCCUACUAUCCGUUCCACUCGAGCGCCGUGGAGGAGUUCACGGUCGGCUCGGAGCGCUGCGAGGGCGGCGGUCGCGCCUACUGCAACGGGCCUCUCAAGCCCAACACCAAGUACUUCGUGAAGCUGCGGGCCUUCACGGCGCCCGACAAGUUCACAGACACCGCCUACGCGCCCGUCUACACCGAGGCCGACAACACGGCGUGGAUAGCGGGCGGGGCGUCGGCGGCGCUGGUCGCGCUCGGGGCCGCCGCGGCCGCGUUGGCCGUGCGCCGCCGGCGUCUGCGUCGCGCCGCGCCCCGGCCCCGCGCGCCGGCUCCGGCCUCGCGGCCCGUGCGCGUCGCCGACUUCGUGGAGCACUACCGGCUCAUGUCCGCCGACUCCGACUUCCGCUUCAGCGAGGAGUUCGAGGAGCUGAAGAGCGUCGGCCGCGAGCAGCCGUGCACGGCCGCCGACCUGCCCGUCAACCGCCCCAAGAACCGCUUCACCAACAUCCUGCCGUACGACCACUCGCGCUACAAGCUGCAGCCCGUGGACGACGAGGAGGGCUCCGACUACAUCAACGCCAACUACGUGCCCGGCGACAGCUCGCCGCGCGAGUUCAUCGUGACGCAGGGCCCGCUGCACUGCACGCGGGACGACUUCUGGCGCAUGUGCUGGGAGUCGGGCUCCCGCGCCAUCGUGAUGCUCACGCGCUGCGUGGAGAAGGGCCGCGAGAAGUGCGACCGCUACUGGCCCUACGACACGCGGCCCGUCUACUACGGCGACAUCGCCGUCACGGCGCUCAACGAGAGCCGCUACCCCGACUGGACGGUCACCGAGCUGGGCGUGUGCCGCGGCGCCGAGCAGCGCGUGCUCGUGCACUUCCACUUCACGACGUGGCCCGACUUCGGCGUGCCGGAGCCGCCGACCACUCUGGCGCGCUUCGUGCGCGCCUUCCGCGAGCGCUGCCCGCCCGACGGCCGGCCCGUGGUCGUGCACUGCAGCGCGGGCGUGGGCCGCUCGGGCACCUUCAUCACGCUCGACCGCGCGCUGCAGCAGCUGGCGCGCCACGCCGACACCCUCGACGUCUUCGGCAUGGUGCACGCCAUGCGGCGCGAGCGCGUGUGGAUGGUGCAGACGGAACAGCAGUACAUCUGCAUCCACCAGUGCGUCGUGGCGGCGCUCGAGGGCCGCGACUUGGCCCCGCCGCCGCCCAACAACCACCACCUCAACGCCGCCUUCGAAGACGACGAGGGCAUCGCCGAGUCGGGCAUGUGAGCGCUCGCCGAGGAGCCGCGACGGCGUGCCGUACGUCAGGUACCGUCCAGCUGAUGCCUCGACAUCACACUCAGAUUCGUCACAUUUACUACUCCGUGUCCCCAGAGCCGAUUCUGCGAGGACACGAGCGACGGCGACUCGGCCGUUCGCUGCAACAUAGCGAACGUAACGUUUAUUGCCAAGGCCGACCUACUUAAAACGAUCCGUCCGUAUAAAUAUUAUGUAAAAAUUUAGGAAUAUUGUAACGAACCGAGGUUCGACUGUUGUAAAUAAAAUAUAUUUUAUAAA